rnacentral:rRNA from 1 species
UAUGGAGGAUGCAAGCGUUAUCCGGAUUUAUUGGGUUUAAAGGGUGCGCAGGUUGUUUGAUAAGUCAGUGGUGAAAGUCUGUCGCUUAACGGUAGGAUUGCCAUUGAUACUGUUGGACUUGAAUAUGGAUGAGGUAGGCGGAAUGUGUAGUGUAGCGGUGAAAUGCAUAGAUAUUACACAGAACACCGAUUGCGAAGGCAGCUUACCAAUCCAUCAUUGACGCUGAGGCACGAAAGCGUGGGGAUCAAA